rnacentral:rRNA from 1 species
GGAGUCUGGGCCGUGUCUCAGUCCCAAUGUGGCCGUUUAGCCUCUCAGCUCGGCUACGCAUCGUCGCCUUGGUGGUCCAUUACACCGCCAACUAGCUAAUCAGAUGCAGACUCAUCCUUGAGCACCGGAGUUUUCAAGAUAAGCAUUCCAGCUUAGCUCAUAUGGGGUAUUAGCAGGAGUUUCCCUCUGUUGUCCCCCACUCAAGGGCAGAUUCUCUACAUAUUACUCACCCGUCCGCCACUUUCCUCUCUAGCAAGCUAGAGAUUCUCGUUCGACUUGCAUGUAUGAAGCACGCCGCCAGCGU